ACACAUCCCUUGACAUCUAAUUCUAAUCCAUUUUGAAGGUGUAUUCAAUUCAUAUUUUUUAAAAUUUUAUUAAUUUUAAAUUCUAGAAUUAUAUAAAUUAAAUUGUUUUUAAAAUUGUUUUAGAAAGGGAUGAUUUUUUUAAAAUUGUUUAUUAAUUGGAAUAUUUUUUGAAUAAUGAUUAUUAAGAUAAGAAUAAUUUUUUCUUUUUAGAGAUUUCAAACAAAAAAAUUAAUUAUGAGAAUU
rnacentral:lncRNA from 1 species